rnacentral:rRNA from 1 species
UACGUAGGGGGCUAGCGUUGUCCGGAAUCAUUGGGCGUAAAGCGCGCGUAGGCGGCCAGAUAAGUCCGGUGUGAAAGUCACAGGCUCAACCUGUGAAUGCCGCUGGAAACUGUCUGGCUAGAGUCCGGAAGGGCGAGUGGAAUUCCUGGUGUAGCGGUGAAAUGCGCAGAUAUCAGGAAGAACACCCGUGGCGAAGGCGGCUCUCUGGGACGGUACUGACGCUGAGGAGCGAAAGCCAGGGGAGCAAACGGG